ensembl:snoRNA Gm24120 small nucleolar RNA SNORA17
UCUGAUCUAAAUAAGAAAUAUGUGGCUGCUUUGUCACAUGUGUGCCAGUAGGUGGCAGAAAGAAGAGAGGCUAUGUCUAUGCUCAGCGUUCUGACCUAUGAACAUAUGAUCGAUUAGUAGCCUAACAUU